rnacentral:lncRNA from 1 species
GCCUGCGGCAGUGCAGGAACCCAGCUGGGGCACCCUGACCCUCUGGCCAUGCCCUUCUGCUCCUGUGCAGGGGACAGCAGAGGGGAGCUCGGGGACUGACAUCCCAAAGGCCUGGUCCCCUCCUUGCUCUCGCAGCCAGUCCUUGCUCUAGGACAGCGACCCAUGUCUGCAGCCCGACCCAGCCCACCCACAGAGCCCGGCGUCCCAGAGCUGCUGGGGGGCACGGUGGUCGGGAAGUGAGUGGUUGGGCAGUCCUCCGCAGGGCUGCUGCCAGAUCUCAGCCUCGGAGGUUUCCCUGAAACAGAGCCAACGCCCGCAAAGACCUGGGCAGACCGCAGGGGCCAGGGGAUCAGGGGACCGGGUCCCUCAUUAGAGUCAGAAAAAUGCUCCCAGGAGGACGCCAGGCUGCUGAGGCCUGUGGCUGACACCAGGGGGCAGGGCGGGGCGGCGGGGACAGCGGCCGGAGGAGGGAGCCGCCCAGACCCAGCCCGGGGGCGAACGAAGGGCGGGCGUGGUGGGCGCCUGCUAGCUCCGGCUUGCGGUGUUGCGCCUUUGCGACAUCGCUCGGGGAGGGGAGAGCCCCGGGCCCGGCCGCCCCGCGCCGUGGCCGGGAAGGGGGACACAGCGCACGCGUGCGGCGCCCGACGGCGUCUCCCAGCACGCCCGAUCCCCCGUGCAGGCGGCGGCCCGGCCCCUUUCCAAGCACAACAGCGGCCCCGCCGCGGCCCCGCGCUGACCCACUUUCCCUCCCGCCUCCUCGGCCCGAGGCCGAGAAUCCAGCGGCCGCCGCCAAGCAGGGUUCUGUCUACUUCUUCUGCAGGCUGUUGGUUUCCUUCAAAUGUCGGGGUUCUUGAUUGUCCGAUCCCAUUUGUAAAUGAGUGCCCAGACAGUGGUUCUCAAAGUGAGAUCCACGGACGCGUGGGUUCUUAAGACUCUUUCUGGGUGUCUGCAAAGCCAAAACUAUUUAAUAGGAAUAAAAAAGACUUUUUUUUUUUUUUUCUGAUGGGUGUUCAGGUGCUCGCUUCAGCAGCACAUAUACAAAUGGGUGUUCAGUGGAGUUUUCCAGAGUCUACGUGAUGUGUAUUAUCACUACAGCUUGAAAGAAGAAGGAGGUAUGAAAAUCCAGCUGUUAAGUCAGGAAACAACAGGUGCUGGAGAGGAUGUGGAGAAAUAGGAACACUUUUACACUGUUGGUGGGAUUGUAAACUAGUUCAACCAUUAUGGAAAACAGUAUGGCGAUUCCUCAAGGAUCUAGAACUAGAAGUACCAUAUGACCCAGCCAUCCCACUACUGGGUAUA